GGAGAGGACGCAGACAGUCAGGCCUCCGAAGUAACACGGAGAAAUCCUGAGUUUUCCUCACUAGUGAUUACCAGGAUUCACUUUCAUUCCCAGCAAGGGAUAGGGAAAAGGAAAGCCAGGCAAAAUUGACAAAGCUAUGACCACUGUUUUUGUUCAAGAGUGACCUCCUGUCUAUGCAUAUUUGAGAAGCAAGUAAUAUUAAAGCUUAAGUUGGAAAAUCAGCCUGGGUAUUGGGAAUUCCAAUGAAAAACUGUAGCCUGGAGGCAUCUUGCUUAUGUCUACUUAUUUCAAUGCUCCUGAAAAUCUGCCUGUCUUCAGUUACAGUUACGACUGAGACUAUGAGAGCCGAACCCCAAUAGCCGUCUCAUGGAGAUGCCCUGGCCUGCAGAACUACACAGUGAUCGUGUAUCUGCCACUCUGAG